rnacentral:rRNA from 1 species
AGAGCGAACGCUGGCGGCAGGCCUAACACAUGCAAGUCGAACGGACCCUUCGGGGUUAGUGGCGGACGGGUGAGUAACACGUGGGAACGUGCCUUUUGGUUCGGAAUAGCUCCUGGAAACGGGUGGUAAUGCCGAAUGUGCCCUUCGGGGGAAAGAUUUAUCGCCAUUAGAGCGGCCCGCGUCUGAUUAGCUAGUUGGUGAGGUAAAGGCUCACCAAGGCUACGAUCAGUAGCUGGUCUGAGAGGAUGACCAGCCACAUUGGGACUGAGACACGGCCCAAACUCCUACGGGAGCAGCAGUGGGGAAUCGUUGCGCAAUGGGACGAAAGCCUGACGCAGCCAGUCGCGCGUAGAAUGAGUAGAAGGUCGUUAGGUAUUAGUAAAAUUUCGUUACGACCGGGGACUAAUAAGUAGAACCGGUAACCCGGAAGAAACGGAACGCCCCGGACGUAACUUCGUACGCCGAGCAGCCGAC